ACGUAGGACACAAGCGUUAUCCGGAGUUACUGGGCGUAAAGGGCGUGCAGGCGGUUUCUUAAGUCAGGCGUGAAACCACCCGGCUAAACCGGGUGUAGUCGUCUGAGACUGGGAGACUAGAGUGUGGUAGAGGCGUGUAGAAUUCCGGGUGUAGUGGUGAAAUGCGUAGAUAUCCGGAGGAAUACCAGUGGCGAAGGCGGCACGCUGGGCCAUAACUGACGCUAAGACGCGAAAGCAUGGGUAGCGAACGGA
rnacentral:rRNA from 1 species